CGUACUACAAUGCCCAGUACAGAGGGGGCCGAAGCCGCGAGGCGGAGGAAAUCCUGAAAACUGGGCCCAGUUCGGACUGUAGGCUGCAACCCGCCUACACGAAGCCGGAAUCGCUAGUAAUGGCGCAUCAGCUACGGCGCCGUGAAUACGUUCCCGGGUCUUGUACACACCGCCCGUCACAUCAUGGAAGCCGGUCGCACCCGAAGUAUCUGAAGCCAACCGCAAGGAGGCAGGGUCCUAAGGUGAGACUGGUAACUGGGAUGAAGUCGUAACAAGGUAGCCGUAGGGGAACCUGCGGCUGGAUCACCUCCUUUCUAUGGAG
rnacentral:rRNA from 1 species